rnacentral:rRNA from 1 species
UACGGGGGGGGUAAGCGUUGUUCGGAAUUACUGGGCGUAAAGGGCUCGUAGGCGGCCAACUAAGUCGGACGUGAAAUCCCUCAGCUUAACUGGGGAACUGCGUCCGAUACUGGAUGGCUUGGAUUUGGGAGAGGGAUGCGGAAUUCCAGGUGUAGCGGUGAAAUGCGUAGAUAUCUGGAGGAAUACCGGUGGCGAAGGCGGCAUCCUGGACCAUUACUGACGCUGAAUCGCGAAAGCUAGGGGAGCAGACGGG